rnacentral:rRNA from 1 species
GAUGUUCGGUUAAGUCCUGCAACGAGCGCAACCCUUAUCCUUAGUUACUACCAUUUAGUUGAGCACUCUAAGGAGACUGCCCGAGUAAUCGGGAGGAAGGUGGGGACGACGUCAAAUCAUCAUGCCUCUUACGAGUGGGGCUACACACGUGCUACAAUGGACGGUACAAAGAGAAGCGAAGUGGUGACAUGGAGCAAACCUCAAAAAACCGUUCUCAGUUCGGAUUGAAGUCUGCAACUCGACUUCAUGAAGUCGGAAUCGCUAGUAAUCGUAGAUCAGCUACGCUACGGUGAAUACGUUCUCGGGUCUUGUACACACCGCCCGUCAAACCAUGGGAGCUGGUAAUGCCCGAAGUCGGUUUAUAAAGAAACUGCCUAAGGCAGGACUGGUGACUGGGGUUAAGUCGUAACAAGGUAUCCCUACGAGAACGUGGGGAUGGAUUACCUCCUUUCUA